ACGACGACGAGACACUGCAUGUAUUUUACUUACAUCUUCAUGUGCGGCCGCCUUUUAGCUCCCUGCCCUCCCGUCCCCCGGUAAUGCAGUCCAGCCAGAGGCAGAGAGACAGGAGCCGCCCGCCGCCCGCCACUGUGAUACCCUUUCCACUCGGCAAUCCCCCCCUGCACGGCGCACGAACUCCUUGUCUGCCUGGUGUGAGGCAGCCGGAGCAGAGGAGCCUCUCACUAGGCAGACGGGGAGUGAGGGCGCCGUGCGCGCGCGGGGGGAAUAAUCGUGGUGGCGGCUCCUAUCUCCCCUCUGGCCUCUGGCCGGACUGCGUUACCGGGGGAUGGGAGGGCAGAGAGCUAAUCAGCGGCCGCACAUGUAAAUGUACAGUUAUGUAUGACUAUGACUCUUAAAUAGCAGGGAGAGAUCGCGGCCGGGACCGGGAGCUGCAGGCAUCUUCCGGAUCAUGUGAUCAUUACCGACUGAAGACGCCGUCUACCCAGGAAGGAUACAUUUCUUCAGAGGUUCCCCGUUAUGAGAAACCACCAUAUAGCUUCAUAUAUGUAAUUAUCGGUUGGCCUGGAUGGGCACAUGAUGCUCGGGUACUUGCCAAUUCAGAACUGUUUCGGCUAGCAGAGGAAAAGCAAGGCGGCUGGCUUUUCCCUAGAGAGCGCCGUAACCCGGCCGCCUGGCGUCUAUGGUCACCAUGGCAACCAGACGCGAUUCCAAUGACGACAUCAGUGGGAGACCGGAAGUGAAGCGGCAAACAGCGCGUCCGGGACGGCGUCUGAGCACAGAGCGGGAUUCUCUGGUAUUUAAGGACAGUCAGAGAAAGACUCUUUGAGAUAGUAUUCUAGCUGCAAUCAGAGUCAUCGAGAGUGAAGAUGGGCUGGAACUGAGGAGGAAAUGGCCAAAUCUGGGAAGGGUGGCCAUGUCCCUUUCUACAACAAUGAAAAAAUACCAUGCAUGGCACAGCAAAGGAGAGUGCCGUAAGACAUAAAUGGUUGUUCGGCAAACUGCAAAAAGGGACAUUUGUCCCCCUCAGCAUCUGGCCCACGCCACUCCAAGAAGCCCAGACACAGAUAAAGAGUACCCUCGUCACUCCUCUUGUUACCCAUGGCUACAAUAAUACAAUAAUAAUACAAUUA